rnacentral:rRNA from 1 species
CCUACGGGGUGCAGCAGUGAGGAAUAUUGGUCAAUGGACGAGAGUCUGAACCAGCCAAGUAGCGUGAAGGAUGACUGCCCUAUGGGUUGUAAACUUCUUUUAUAAAGGAAUAAAACGAGGCACGUGUGCCUUUUUGCAUGUACUUUAUGAAUAAGGAUCGGCUAACUCUGUGCCAGCAGCCGCGGUAAUACGGAGGAUCCGAGCGUUAUCCGGAUUUAUUGGGUUUAAAGGGAGCGUAGAUGGGUUGUUAAGUCAGUUGUGAAAGUUUGCGGCUCAACCGUAAAAUUGCAAUUGAUACUGGCAGUCUUGAGUACAGGUGAGGUAAGCGGAAUUCGUGGUGUAGCGGUGAAAUGCUUAGAUAUCACGAAGAACCCCGAUUGCGAAGGCAGCUUACUAAACUGUGACUGACAUUGAUGCUCGAAAGUGUGGGUAGCAAACAGGAUUAGAUACCCCUGUAGUC